ACUGGUGAUUGAGUGUGUUCUGGCCUUGAGAUUCUCCCCCAUCAAGUUGGCUUCCAUAUAGUUUGGGAAAUAGCACAUACUACGUCACUCCAUGGACUGGUUUCUGAGCAGGAGAUUUUCUAGGCUGGCACAGACCAUUUGAAAGGAUAUAAGCUACGCAUAUCCGGGAAUAAAUCAGGCUUGAAGCUGAAAGGACGAGCUGCAGUCAUUUUUAUAUGACUGUGGGGAGAAGUCGCUUCAGAACAGGCUAACACCAAGGAAUUCGAGCCAGGGACAGACAGGAAGAAGAAGGGUCAUGAUGGCUUCAACUGAGUUCCUGGAUCCAUUCCUGCCUGAUUAUUCCUGGACUUUGUCAUUUUGUUCUGUUGGAGAGUCCCCACUGGCCACUAGAUGAAACUGUGUGUUUCCAAGUGUUUUGGAUCAGAUAUGCUCGCACUGACUGACUA
ensembl:lncRNA